GCUGGCGAUGAUGACACCCUUGCCCUCACCGAGAACGGCGUUUGCUGGUGAGAGCGGUUCCGUGCGCCCGGUGGAGCCGAGCCAGA